GACGAACGCUGGCGGCGUGCCUAAUACAUGCAAGUCGAACGCUGAAGGAGGAGCUUGCUUCUCUGGAUGAGUUGCGAACGGGUGAGUAACGCGUAGGUAACCUGCCUGGUAGCGGGGGAUAACUAUUGGAAACGAUAGCUAAUACCGCAUAAGAGUAGAUGUUGCAUGACAUUUGCUUAAAAGGUGCAAUUGCAUCACUACCAGAUGGACCUGCGUUGUAUUAGCUAGUUGGUGGGGUAACGGCUUACCAAGGCGACGAUACAUAGCCGACCUGAGAGGGGGAACGGCCACACUGGGACCGAGAAACGGCCCAGACUCCUAAGGGGGGGAGCAGUAGGGAAUCUUCGGAAAGGGACGGAAGUCUGAACGAGCAACGCCGCGGGAGUGAAGAAGGGUCUCGGAUCGGAAAGCUCUGUUGUAAGAGAAGAAAGAGUGUGAGAGUGGAAAGUUCACACUGUGACGGUACCUAACCAGAAAGGGACGGCUAACUACGUG
rnacentral:rRNA from 1 species